GCCGGAAUAGCUCAGUCGGUAGAGCAGCGCAUUCGUAACGCGAAGGUCGUAGGUUCGAUUCCUAUUUCCGGCACAA
rnacentral:tRNA from 1 species